rnacentral:lncRNA from 1 species
GAAGGCCUGUUAUAUUUUUUCACCUUCCAGGAUAAAAGCAUGCUGUUUGGAUAAGCGCUGAAAAUGGUUCAAGGAAAGAGUCCUGGCUAAAAAUAGAUAAAUAAAUGAAGUCAAACAUGAAGAAAUCUUUUCAAAUGGUUCAUAAAACAGUGUGACGCUAUUUCCUACUUCCUUAACAACUGAAGAGUUUGAAGGAUAAAUACAUGCUGGUGAUAGAAGGCAAAAAUGCUCAUGCUUACAAAAUAAACAUUCAUAGACAGGAAUCUUUCUGGGUUAUUAAAAAUAUGAUGUUUUGAGAAAAUACUGGAAAUAGUUAAACCCUCUGUACAUCAAAUUCAGAAUAUAUUAACAUUUAAUAUAGAACUUGGCCAUCUGUUCUUUACUGAAUUCAUAAAAGACCAAUAGCCAAUAGAACAAACUACCCAUGUUUGUAAGAAACUAUCACUGUUUGAGCAAAACACUUUUCAAUAUGAAGAUUGCAAUAUUAUGAUUAGAUUUAAAUAUUAUAUUUUGGGAUCAGGGAUCUGAAAUGUAUAGAACUACAAUUGGUUUACUCUUAGCUAUCCUCAUAACUUAAUGCAGUUUCUCAUAGCAGAUACAAAUAUGUGCAAUUAUUACAUGUGAAUCAAACAUUCAAACAUUAUAAAAAGAAAUAAAUAUGUAAUAAAUAAAUAAAUGACUAAAUUUAGUUUUUAUGUUGGAAUCUAUUUUCACUGUCUGAAAUGGGAAUUGGCAAAAUAUGUUUCACUGCUUGUUUUUGACAAUGACUUUUAUUUGAACAUGGUCAAGGCCAUUCAUUUACUUAUGGUCUCUGGCUGCUUUCAUGAUACAAUGACUGAGUUUAGUGGUUAUGACAGACAGCACAUAUUCUACAAAAAUACAUACUCUCGUGGCCUUUUGUAGCAAAAGUUUACUGACAUGUCUAAGCCAUAUCCACUGAAGCUCAAAUGUAUUAUACCCUAAGGAGAGUGUUAUAAAAGAUUUAAUUUCAAUGCUUUUUAUUUUGAAAUUUUGCAGAUAAAUAAGCAAUAUUACUUAAUAGAGUUUUAUAGAACAGUUGUGUUAUGUUAAGAGAAACUGGUUCUAUGGUUGGAUGGAAACAUAGAUAUUCUUUUUUAUUCUAUGUGAGAAUUAGUAAUGUGUCAGGGUAAUAAAUAUCUGAGAAUUCAUACAAUAAAUUAACAAUUUUAAUUUUAUUAAAUAUAAUAACAUUUUAUAAACUUCCUUGGCUGUCCCUUCCCUAACCAUAAAAUCAUUUUUAAUAUUUUACAGGAUAUAAGACUUCUCCAGAGUAGUAUUAAAAAUGUUGUCCCCCAAAUAUGCACACCAAGACAUGAAGACUUUAAGGUCAAAGAAGGUCACUAAAUGAAAUUUUCAUGAAAUCAUAGAUUAUAGUUUUAAAGAAGUCAUAACAGUUUACUUAAUCCAAUUUCCAGUUGUAACAGAUUACAGAAAAAACCUUAAUAAUUCAAGCAUAAAAAUCUUAUUUUUCUAUACAAGUGAUAUUUUAUUCUGAACAUUUUAAAGGUAAACAAAAUGGCUUUACUGGACUGUAUAUAUGUGUUGUUUUCACUUCCUGGAGAUGAGAGGCAUCAUUAUACCAUGAUAAAUGCUGAAACAAUCAUUGUUUUUCAUAUUACAUUAAAUUGGUUAGUGCCAUAAUUAAUUUUAAUAGGAUAUUUAUGACUCCGUAACUACCUCAAGAUUACUUUAGCACUGAGCACUGCAAGUAUUCUCUCCUCACAUGUUUUAUUAAUGUAGAGGUGCUUUAAGUUUAGUUAUAAAAUAAUUCAAGUAGGUUAUUAUUUUUUGCCUCCGAGAUAUCACUUUCAUUUUAAUGGCUUGAAUGCUUCCUAUUAUUGUUUUGGGGUAGGAUUAAUUAAAUUUAGAAUGAUGUUUUUAAUACUGUGUGAUGAUAUAACUUCAAUAAAAGGGUUAACAAGAAUGUAUU